UUCAUGUGGUCACAGCCUUUCUCUCAGCACCCAGUCAUCUCCACAAUGACCGUAAAUCUCCUUCUGACCUUCUCUAAAUUCUCUCUUUCAUUUGUCUUAUAGAGCUUGAACCAUGGGGAACCUCCCUACGAUACAUAAUGAAACCCCCUACACAUUUCACUACUGUAUUAUUGGGAGAGAGGGUGUGCAUACAGUGCAUGGCAACAGCACAGGAGAGUCCCUGCAAGCACCAUUUUGGAUUGCAUUACCAUUUCGGGGUGCAUUACUACCAUUUUGGGGGCUCUCCUUUAGAUAUGGAGAUCACUCAGAAAGUGACCUCACUGGUGCAGGUGAUGGCGCUUCGUACACCAUAAGAGAGAGUAAAGAUCACAAGGAAUUUGAACUGGUCUCCAAGAUGUGGCAUAGAGUUGUUGUUGUUGACCGUUGUCCCAACUUUGGAGGAGGGGGUUCUUCUCAAAGAUAACUAAAUGGAUUCGUGGUGAACAGAGCCCGUGCAGUGGUCAUUUUGAAAUCCUGAGACCAGAUGGAACCGUGAUCCCAGUAAAUUCAGAAGAUCAGAACUGCCUCUUCCACGCUGUUGCUCAGGCCACCUGUAAAAAUCCAGGUGAUGUAGGAAAAGAGGCACGGGUGCUUCGGGAGCAGGUCAGAAACAAUCUUCAGCAAAACCUACCCAAAUACGUAGGAGCUCUGAAACUGCAGAAAGGCUAUGAAACCUGUAACUCUCCUGGAAGAUAUUACAUAUGUGGAGGAGAUCGAAAGGCACGAAGAAAAGCCGUAGACGAUUUCAACGCCAUCUUGGGCGACACGAGCAAGAAAGGUUUGAGUCCAGAGGAAUUACGAGAUAUCCAAGAAUGACGUCUGGGUUUGGUUGGAACGCACACUGAUGUGUACAAAAUCCGUGUGGAAACCUCAAACCAAAGAGAAUGUGGUGAAAACAGGCUGGCGGUGGAAGCAGACCAUGUGCCACCUAAAUGUGUCUUUCAGAAUGCCCUUAAAACGUUGCAGGACCCUGAGAACGUAAAGUUAAGAGAGAACCUGAAAAACAAAAGUCCCCACCUUCAUGCACUGUUGGAUAAAAAUGGAGACCGCGGUCUGUGCAGAGAGGUUCUGAAAUCGCACCAUGAGGCAGGCCUGACCUGGUGCAACAGAAAAGAGUCUCGUAUAAUCAGCGAGAAGCUUGAGGAGAUUCUUAUUUCUGGAGACGGGGAAAAACUGGUGAAGAUGUCACUGCUGGCAGCCAAUCCGGUUACAUCCAAUUCUCUUAGAGAGGAUGCAGGAAUCCUCAUGCUGAACAGCUCAAAUAUGUCCAGAGACGCAACGAAGCGCUACCACGAUGUUGGAGACAAGCUGCUGGUGGAAGGUUACUACAAGAAAGGAGUCCUGAACGAGGAGGAGAGGCACAGCAUCAUGGACUGGCUGAAGGGUGGAAACCUGUACUCAAAGAACACGUCAGAGUACAAAGAGAUGUGCAGUGAGCUGAGAGCCAAGAUACAGAAACACAACAACAACAGUGGAAAAUAACAACAGUGUGUGUGUGUUUAACUGAACGUAUCAGACAUCCAAACUGAGAAAGCUCAGUUUUAUUUGAUGUUUUUAUCAUUUAUAUAUUUCGUUAUCCUCUCUGACCGUUUCAUCAUCAUCCUCUUUUCCUCUUUUCCCAGAAAACAAAGAAGGAAAAGAGUUUCUCUGAAAGAUUUUAAUCCGAGGAUAAAAAGCAGCUCAAAGACAGUGAUUUGUAAUCACAGGAGCUGUUGUGUGUUCUCUGUGUAACACCUGUCACAGGUACCUGUGAGUGGGCCCUGGGCCUCUGCUUAUAGCACAACAUAUGAAUCAUGAUAUGACUUGUGUAAUUAAACCACAACACAAGAGGUUCAUUUAAACGCAGCAGGCUCACCUCAUUGAUUCCAGAUCAGAAAACAAAGUGUGUGUGUGUGUGUGUGUGUGUGUGUGUGUGUGUGUGUGUGUGUGUGUGUGUGUGUGAGAGGUUACACUGGUGUUUGGGGUCAGAGGUCACACUGGUGAUCACCUUGCUAAGUUAACCUGGUUUUUUGCUCCCACCAUAAAAAAAUGAAGGAAUAAAGUUGUGUGUAAAA
ensembl:lncRNA